rnacentral:lncRNA from 1 species
CGCGAUGAAGCAGCCGCCGUCCUCAUAGUAUCCAAUCCUGUAAAUUUCCCUCCUUAAGCAUUAAUUUAGUUAUAACACUGUUUCCCUCCGUUGGCAAUUUUGAUAUCAUCCAACUUAUGCCCUGUGAGCUGUGACUUCACUCGUAUAAGUUUGUUCUGUGAUGUAAAAUCACUUCCAUAGCUUCAACAUGCAAUAUUGACACCCUCUUGCCAUCUUCCAACACAGUUUAUGGUUUUAUUAUUUGUUUAAGUGGUGUAUACAUAUAUACUUGAACCAUAAAACAGGCCCAACAAAGAACAGCUGUACAUAUAUACAAGAAGCAUGAACUCACACCCAAAGAAAUACAAGAAGCAUGAACCACCCCUGCAAACUCGAAACCCAGCAGCCCAAAUAAAAAACCUACAGAGCCCCAAAAUAAUGCAAUGCCGCCCAGUUCACAAGCAGAACAAAAAAAAACCAGCCAAUUCUGGAAGCAACAUGCCCCUAACCUUACACACUUAAUUAUUGUCAUACGCGAAACAUACCCCAGGUAUGAAGCCAAACAAGGGUUCCAACAGUCAUCUUCAGCCCAUCACCCCCUUUUCUGUGUCUCUUGACAAUAUAUAUGAAAUGCUACACUGCAGUGUACGCAAAUUAAGAAAAUAUUUAGAUUGGGCAGAAAGCCUUAGCAACUUCGCAUUCUAUGAUCCAAUUUUAGCGCAUACCGCUGGAUUAGUACCGUCAAGUUUGAAAUAGGCAGAAGGGCAACAUUUUCCCAUUCUAGGACCCAUUUACAAACUUUUUCUUACAUUAUUAAGGCAACUGAUGGGUUCUUCAAGAUGAAAAAUGCAACCAACAGUAAGAUAGUAUGCAACCUCGUUAACCAUUUAUGUUUUUAUAACGACAAGACAAAAUAAGAAUCCAAAAAAAUAUCAACAUAAAUCAAACCCACAACCCCAGUUAACCACACAUAAUAUCUUUGUAAUGAAUUCCAUUUUGUUGAUACUUCAAUAAGAAAGGUCAGUAGUUUCAACUUUCUAAGUAUUCCAAAUUGAAUGUUUAUCAUUGAACCAAAAAUUAUAGAAUUUCCAACCCUUCAGAAGAGUUGCUUUGAAACCCCCAACUUGGAGAAUGUCAAAUUUCAAAAUACCAAUCAUAUAUUAAUAUAAAAACCAUCCCUUCAUAUAUGUGUGACAGAUCUAUGUGAUCUGCAAAUUGAUCCUUAAAAUCGGGAAACAAAGUCACAACUACACGUAACGAAGCAUUUUAUGAUGUUAAGGGACAUGAAUAACAUUGGCUGAACUGAAAAAACCCACAAGAUCAUCAUAUUGCUCAUAGGAAUCAGAAGAUUUUUCCAACAGAAUUCUCAAACCCACAUGAUAAGUUGCCUCCAUAAUCAAACACAAGUACCCUUCGAUUAUAAACUUAAUCAACCCCACCAAACUGAUUUCUCGAAUGGGCAGAAGGCAAACCAAUAUUGAGAAUGGUUCCCUUUCUAGGACCCAAUAUGGACAACUCACUGGAGACAACUGUAUUUAGUGUUUAAAACAGGAAGAAGAAUAAUUUGAAUUCCACUUUUAAGCACCUUUUCCUCUGUAUAUUUAAAGACGGCAAAAAGGCAACCGAGGUUCCUUUUUAGGACCUACAACUAUUGCAACAAACUUAUGUCCUGAAUGGGCAGAAGGCAAACUCAGAUCACCAUGAUUUCCUUUUUAGGACCCGAUAUGAACACCUCACUUAACACAAUUGUAAUCAAGUUUAAAAUAGAAAGAAGGGUAGCCUGAUUCCCACCUCAGUAUAAUUAGAAGGCAAAAAGGCAACCCAAAGCGAGGUUCCAUUUUAGGACCUUCAUAUAUUGCAACAACCAAAAUGUCAAGAACGGGCAGAAGGCAAACCAAGAUGGACAUGAUCUCCUAUCUAGGACCCGUGAGAACCAGCUUACAUAAAUGAUUCCAAUUGGUUUCAAUAGAUAGAAAGAUAACUCUAAUCCCUUUCUAGGGCCCUCAAUGAGGUUCAUUACUCCUCAGAAGCUUUAAAUAGGUAGAUUCAGCUUUAUAAGAUCAUUCAGGGACCCGUUUGAUAUCCUUUACUUGCGUAGUUACAAGUUAUGCAUUCUUAAUGACAUAAAGGAAACACAUAGACCAAACCCACAAUGCAUAUAAGAUAUUCUGAAACUCUCGAAACGCUUCGUCCCAAAAGAAUCUCUCGAAAUCCACAUGAAUGAUAAAUCUAGGAAGGAAGCCGAAUUAAAGCGAUGAAAUCCAGAGAUCAGAGACAGAAAACGGACCUCUUAUUGACAGAUCCGAACAAAAAGAACGUUAUGUCACCAUAAAACGUCAUCGAAUAACCGGAAGAGGUACCUUGAUUCACUGCCAAGCAUGUAUCAAACGGAAGACACACCAAACCUUAAUAGAUAGCCACCAUCUCUUGAUACCGAGUACUCAAACACCGAAUCUCAUAUAAGAAACCAGCCACUCAUAAUCGUGCCUCAAAUUUUUUUACCUCAUGCAGCCAAAUCAAAGCAUGAAAAGGAACCCAGGAAACGGACGUUUUGAUAAUAAUGAUUGUCGGACUAGAAAUGCUUGUUCGUAAAAGGAUCUCCCAAAACCCACAAGAAUGCUAAAUCUAGGAAGGAAGCCAAAGUAGUAAAGGGAUGAAAGCAGGAGAUCAGAGAUAGGAAAUGGACCUCUAGAAUCGUUCAUCGGAAAUCUAUAACCACCGGAAGAGGUGCUUUGAUUCACCACCUCAAGUACCCAUUCGCGAGAGACGCAACCAUCGGAGGAGCGCCUUGCCACCGACUUCCAUUUUUUUGGGGGUGGAAUCCACCGACUUUGAUUGCGACCAAAAGGAGAGCCGUUAAAGGCUUUUUCUUUGGGGAUAAAGAGAGCCGUUGAUCUGCUCCUUUGUUGGUAACAGAGUUAUUCUUAUUAAGUUUAAUUAGUAGAGAGUAGAGAGAGACACACG